UUCUAAUAUGGCAGAUCAUUGCAUGAGAUUUAAGCUCUCAAUAGGAAGAUUCACCUUCUUUUAGAAA
rnacentral:tRNA from 1 species